GGAGGAACCAGAGAACCCCUUGAAACAAAGCCAGAGACCCACCCUUUUCUUCCGGCCCUCGGUCCUGCCUCUCGGCCAAGUUCCGUCACACAUGAUCUUCACCAAUUGCUGGUCCGGCUUUGGUGUUUGGCCUGAAUUCUGCAAGCAUUUGGGGGACCGAGCACUUGAACCCUUCUGAUGUGAAGUGCUCAGGGACUGACUCAGAGUCCCAAGUACCUGGGCAACUCCAGAGCAAGCGUCCUUCCAGAGCCAUCCACCAUGUCUAGCUGUUCCAGACAGCCUGGGCUCCGAGCAGUCUGUCUUCAGGUCAAGAAAUGAAAGCUACUCUUAAACUCAAGAUGCUCACCCAUACAGUCCUGUUGAAUUCCUAUAAAUCUUCUGAAGUCCCCCAGAAGGGGAGAGGUCCCAUACUUCGUAAUUAAUCCCAUCCAAUAAAAUGCGCUCAGAAACCA